UAGGAUAUGAAAUCGGCACUAAAACACAUCAUCUCAUUCAUCUCUUGAACAAAGAUGGAUCUGCAAGUCUCAGUUUUUCUCUUGGUCCUUCUUUUCACUGGAGGACACUCUCUCAGAUGUUAUGAGUGUAAGGAUCUGACAGGUUCUUGUGCGGAACAAAAGGAGAUAACUUGUGAAGGUGAAUCUUCCAAGUGUACGAGUUUAACAGCGGUGACACCAAUAGGUGACACUAGUCCUACA